rnacentral:rRNA from 1 species
AACACAUGCAAGUCGAGGGCGAUCGGGAGUAGCAAUACUUGCCGGCGACCGGCGCAAGGGUGCGUAACGCGUGAGCAACAUGCCCGGAUCAGGGGGAUAAUCCAUGGAAACGUGGUCUAAUACCCCAUAGUAAUUAUGUAAGGCAUCUUAUAUAAUUUAAAGCUUUGGUGGAUACGGAUUGGCUCGCGUGACAUUAGCUAGAUGGUAAGGUAACGGCUUACCAUGGCUACGAUGUCUAGGGGUUCUGAGAGGAAGGUCCCCCACACUGGAACUGAGACACGGUCCAGACUCCUACGGGAGGCAGCAGUGAGGAAUAUUGGACAAUGGAUGGAAAUCUGAUCCAGCCAUGCCGCGUGCAGGAAGACGGCCCUAUGGGUUGUAAACUGCUUUUGUAUGGGAGCAAUAAGGGCUACGCGUAGUCCGAUGAGAGUACCAUACGAAUAAGCACCGGCUAACUCCGUGCCAGCCGCGGC